CCAUGACUCUGAUUAAGGACCCGGGUUCCCCAGGUCCUGCUGCAGGGAUACAAGGAGGCAGGGAAUAAUGGCAACUAGUCCUAGAAGACUCUGGGUCCCCAAAGCUGGCUGAGACUGGUUAAAGCUUCGUUUAUUGUGACAGGGCCUUGGUUGGUGGGAGGAGGUCGAAAGUUGUCAUUAGCAGGAUCUGAACGCCACCUCUGCCCCUAACCCUCACGAGGCCUCAACCUCAGGGCCUUCUGGAUGGUGCUUUUCUCUGAGGUAAAAUAGAAGUGAGGACUCUGGGAUCAGAGGCACCACAUCAUCAUCAGUGUGGUUUGCUGGUCUGCUAACUAUAAAGCGCGGGCCACUGCUCUCAGAGGCCAGACUGUAGCUUAUCUAUAUCCUGGAAGGUUCUGGGGGCUCACAGUCCCUCUCCUACCUCCCCUUCUGCUGCCCUCACCCCACACCUCCACCUCCUUCCCACAGUGCUUGGCUCAUCCAAGACACAGACGUUUCCCAGAAGCCCCCAAACUACACGGAGUCCAGCAGGUUUCUUUCCUUACACUCUUGCCUUGGGACAGCUGGUCUGAAGUGAAGUUGCCCAGUCGUGUCCGACUCUUUGAGACCCCGUGGACUGUAGCCUGCCAGGCUCCUCCGUCCAUGGAAUUUUCCUGGCAAGGAUACUGGAGUGGCAUGAAGCUGACUUAGUUGGAGAACGGGCUUAUGGGGAUCUCCCCUUUCAGGAAGAUGAGAACUGCUAUAAGGAUUCAGGAAAACCCCUGAGGCCCAGGAUGUGGAGAACUGAGCGCCCCGUCCCUCACCGCCGAUUCCAUUCUUCCAUCCCAAGGAGGAGAGCCACUCGAAUGUCCUGAAAGACACUGGGACUCCGAGGACAGGAUGGGUCAGUCAAGCCAUAACAGAGCAUGGAGCCAGUUCCUUUGUCCACCCUGUCAUCUUCUAGGAACUAGGAAGCACCCUUCCUGGGUCCCUGCCCCAGUGGACUUCUCCAGUUCUUCCUUCCCAGCCGUUGCUGUGGCAUUAGCCAUCUGGAAAAAGAGCUGCUGGUAGGACCUGGGACUUUUGUUCACACCCAUAAGCCUUCCCUCCAGAUAUCCAGUACUUUGCCUUCAGGAAGGAGACUUGAACUUCAGGCAACAGGAGAAAACCAAACCUUCAAGGGCUUUGGUUCCCUCCAAGGCCAAGGUUCCCAAGAUCCUUGGUUAAGAGGUCUGGGCCACUGCCCUCCCGUCUUCACUCUUCUUUUCCCUGUUUGUCCCAGAGUUCUGCUAUAACCCCAAAGCUUUUCUGUUUACCAUCAACAUGGAAACUUGACUCUUCAUAUAGGUAUAUUUUCCCUCUUUUGUGCAUCAUCUUGUUCCCAAAAACUGCCUUUUCAUGAAGGAGGCUUGUGGGACUCAAGGGGCCUGGCCAGUCACCCAGGCUCCCCCGAAGCCUCAGACCACUGGUAAUGUGGAGAAGUUUAAUAAAGAUGUCAUUACUUCUUGACUUGUAGCUUGUGUUCAGUGUGCUGAUUCAGAAGUGAAGACUCAGAGGGAUCCUUUUUAUCCUUCCCACUUAAACCAGGUGGAACGUGUUUGCAUCCCCAGGGAAAUGAGCAAUGCGAGGUGGGUGGAGGGGAUGUUAUAAUGGGCACCCCAGCCUGCCCACCCCUGCCUUUGAAUAAAACUCAUCACUGUCUC
ensembl:lncRNA